rnacentral:rRNA from 1 species
CGCACGGGUGAGUAACACGUAUCCAACCUGCCGUCUACUCUUGGCCAGCCUUCUGAAAGGAAGAUUAAUCCAGGAUGGGAUCAUGAGUUCACAUGUCCGCAUGAUUAAAGGUAUUUUCCGGUAGACGAUGGGGAUGCGUUCCAUUAGAUAGUAGGCGGGGUAACGGCCCACCUAGUCAACGAUGGAUAGGGGUUCUGAGAGGAAGGUCCCCCACAUUGGAACUGAGACACGGUCCAA